GUGGGGAAUAUUGGACAAUGGGGGCUACCCUGAUCCAACCAUGCCGCGUGAGUGAUGACGGCCUUCGGGUUGUAAAGCUCUUUUACAUGGGAAGAUAAUGACGGUACCAUGAGAAUAAGCACCGGCAAACUUCGUGCCAGCAGCCGCGGUAAUACGAAGGGUGCAAGCGUUGUUCGGAAUUACUGGGUGUAAAGGGCGUGUAGGCGGAUUAGUUAGUUAGUGGUGAAAUCCUUGGGCUCAACCUGAGAACUGCCAUUGAUACAGCUAGUCUGGAGUAUUAGAGAGGAUGACGGAAUAUCCAGUGUAGAGGUGAAAUUCGUAGAUAUUGGAUAGAACACCGGUGGCGAAGGCGGUCAUCUGGCUAAUUACUGACGCUGAGGCGCGAGAGCGUGGGGAGCAAACAGGAUUAGAAACCCUGGUAGUCC
rnacentral:rRNA from 1 species